GCUGUGAGGAAAACUGGGAGAGAGUUGGUACCAGGCAGGUUUUUCCUCCCCCGCCGCCACACCGUUCAUUCCAGGAACAGUUUUUAAAAAGACAAAAACCACACACGCACACUUGUACUUUUGGAAUAUUCAAGGCACUUUCCCCUCGUGGGCGCUAAAGGGGAGCCCGACUCACCCCCGUCUAAACGCAACCCACCCACCCCGAUUCGGACCCUUUGUUAAUGCAGCGCUCGUUCAUUUGGGGGGCCGAGGGGAGGGGGGAAGGUCCAGGGGAGCAGGCAAGGCUCAUCUCAACGGCGUGGUGAGAGGAAAAGCUCGUGACUUUUCCCUCGUCCCUCCCCGCUCUUACCUGCGCAGAAGAAGAGGAGACUCCCGAACAAGUGCAGCAGUAAUAGUAGCGGCGGCGACGACUUCAUGGCGAGGAAAGCAACGAGCGGCAGCCAAAGAGACUCCUGAGUGAAUUCCCAACGGACACUCCGCGCCUCCUCUUCUCUUCUUUCCCCUCACAGCCCAGCAGAACUUUUUUGAAGUUAAGCAGCACUACCAGCAGUACGAAUUUAUUAUGAGGGCACUAUGUUCAUUGACGGUGCUGAAACUUUAGGAAAAGGGGAAAAGUGGGAGGAGAAAUAAUCUCUCGAACAUUAUCUGUGCCUGCUGAUGCAUUAAGGGUUCAGAAUCUGUGCUUGAACAAUGAGAGUGUUAGGUUCAAGUACAAAGUAAAUUGAGGUGGAAAUUGUAGGAACAGAAGGGAGGACUGAGCAACAAGGGCAGCAGCCACUAGGUAACAUCCUCAAUUAGAACUAAGCCAAAGAAAGAGGAAGCAUCAUUCACUAAUACGUUCACCCCCCCAAGAUAUCCACCUAGAUCCAACUCUCAGUUUCUCAGGCAGAUGAAUCACCUGACACCAGGCUGACUGAAACCUGAAAUGACAAGCUGAAGUGGAAAGUCAGAGGGAAAAACCACUACUUGUAGGAAGUGUCUGUAAGGCAUCGCUGAGAAGCGGGAGCUGAUCUGCAUAGCGAUUCGUACCCUGCAGCCACUACAGGCCAUGAAGAUAGACUUCAUCAGCAGUCACAUUUAAGCAGACACUUUUAUUCAGCAAGCAGAACAAGGAAGAGAGUAGAGUAUUUGCCAUGAAGCCUGAAGCAUCCCUGAUAAACUGCAUUGAGAAUGCUACAUUCAAGUAUCAUUUAUUCAUGCAGUUCAGGAUAUGUCUGUCAGCUUCCUAUCAUUGACUGUCUACCAAAAAUAUAUUUGUAAGCCACUAGGAAUAUACUUUUUUGUUUUAUAAUGUGUUUUAUAACACAUUGUUCCUGUGCAGAAUAAAAUGUUAUACCUAU